rnacentral:rRNA from 1 species
ACUAUGGAGAGUUUGAUCCUGGCUCAGGAUGAACGCUAGCGGCAGGCCUAAUACAUGCAAGACGAACGGUAAGGUUGUAGCAAUACGAUCUGAGAGUGUCGUAAGGGUGCGUAACACGUAUGCAAUCUGCCCUCAACAGGAGGAUAGCUCCCCGAAAGGGGAAUUAACACUCCGUAAGAUUGUAGUGUGGCAUCACACAGCAAUUAAAAUUCCGGUGGUUGAGGAUGAGCAUGCGCAUGAUUAGUUAGUUGGCGGGGUAACGGCCCACCAAGACGAUGAUCAUUAGGGGAACUGAGAGGUUGAUCCCCCACACUGGCACUGAGAUACGGGCCAGACUCC